rnacentral:rRNA from 1 species
AAAUACUCCUGAAAGACCGAUAGUGAACAAGUACUGUGAAGGAAAGGUGAAAAGCACUUCGAAUAGAAGGGUGAAAUAGAACCUGAAACCGUACGCCUACAAGCGGUCGGAGCAGCGUAAUGCUGUGACGGCGUGCCUUUUGCAUAAUGAGCCUACGAGUUAAUUUUACUAGCGAGGUUAAGGUAUUAAGUACCGGAGCCGGAGCGAAAGCGAGUCUGAAUAGGGCGCAUAGUUAGUAGG